rnacentral:snRNA from 1 species
UUCCGGAACCGGGACGUGGCGG